rnacentral:rRNA from 1 species
UGGGGAAUUUUGGACAAUGGGCGCAAGCCUGAUCCAGCCAUGCCGCGUGAGUGAAGAAGGCCUUCGGGUUGUAAAGCUCUUUCGGACGGGAAGAAAUGGCGGGCUCUAACAUAGCCUGUCGAUGACGGUACCGUAAGAAGAAGCACCGGCUAACUACGUGCCAGCAGCCGCGGUAAUACGGAGGGUGCGAGCGUUAAUCGGAAUUACUGGGAGAAAAGGGCGCGCAGGCGGGAUAAAAAGUCAGUGGUGAAAUCCUACAGCUUAACUGUAGAACUGCCUUUGAUACUUUUAUUCUUGAGUUCGGGAGAGAGAGACGGAAUUCCAGGUGUAGUGGUGAAAUACGUAGAUAUCUGGAAGAACACCAGUUGCGAAGGCGGUCUCUUGGUCCGACACUGACGCUGAGGCGCGAAAGCGUGGGGAGCAAACA